GACGAACGCUGGCGGCGUGCUUAACACAUGCAAGUCGAACGAUGAAGCUAGAGCUUGCUCUGGUGGGUUAGUGGCGAACGGGUGAGUAACACGUGAGUAACCUGCCCCGAACUCUGGGAUAACUGCUGGAAACGGUAGCUAAUACCGGAUAUGACCAAUGAAGGCAUCUUCUGUUGGUGGAAAGAAUUUCGGUUCGGGAUGGACUCGCGGUCUAUCAGCUUGUUGGUGAGGUAACGGCUCACCAAGGCGACGACGGGUAGCCGGCCUGAGAGGGGGAUGGGCCACACUGGGACUGAGACACGGCCCAGACUCCUACGGGAGGCAGCAGUGGGGAAUAUUGCACAAUGGGCGCAAGCCUGAUGCAGCAACGCCGCGUGAGGGACGACGGCCUUCGGGUUGUAAACCUCUUUUAGUAGGGAAGAAGCGAAAGUGACGGUACCUGCAGAAAAAGCACCGGCUAACUACGUGCCAGCCGCCGCCGUAA
rnacentral:rRNA from 1 species